rnacentral:lncRNA from 1 species
UUCGCUAUAUAUGUAACUACUUAAGUAACUGGCAACAUAACUAUCUAUGUAUUUGGCAACAUAACUAGCAAUUUGUUUAGUCUCGCUCUGGUACUAUUCUUCACAACCUUUUUCUUCCUCUUUGGCAUUUCUUCUCUUUAUGUCCUUACUUAGAGAUGGGAACACAUGCAUCAGCAUUCCUCUUUGGCAUUUCUUCUCCUUAUGUCCUUACUUAGAGAUGGGAACACAUGCAUCAACAUGGCCGGGAGGAUAAAAAACAAACAUAUGAUGAGAAGAACAUCUCUGCAAGGAACAAAAAUUGAGUUAGCUAGAGUACUCUACUGAUAUAUGACAUAGUCAAUUACUUAAUAGUUCAUAUCAACAAGGACAUUAAAUUCUGAACAUCAAGUACAUGAACUACAAACUUAAUAUCAUCAUUCCAUAAACUUCCUGAUCCCAAUUCACAACGAGAAAAUGGAACUAACACAAACAACAUCAUUAAUCGAGACAAAAUUCUCUUAGACAUUUAAUCAAACAGUUGGCAUGCAAUAAAAUACACUACUAUCAGUCUGUAAUUACAUGGAUAGUUACAGGGGUAGCUUAAUGCAGUUACAUGAGUAGUGCAGUUACAUGAGUAGUUUUGUAUGUAGCUUCUUAUGUAGGUCAAUGUAACUGGCUAAGUAUGUAACUGCCAAUGUAACUGCCAAUGUAACUAGCUAUGUAACUAAACGGUCUAUGUAACUAUUUAUGUAACUAUGUAAUUAACAAUGUAACUAUCUAUGUAAAUAGCAAUGUAACUAUGUAAUUGAAAAUGUAACUAUCUAUGUAACUAACAAUGUGAUCAUCAUCCAUGGAAUGUCUUACUCCAAUCUCACUAUGGCUUCCUAAGUGAAUCUUUGGAACAAACUUGACUGCAUGGGUCUCCAUUACAACAUUAGCAAUAGUCUCUGAGCACCUCACAACCUGAUAUAAAGAACAAAAUUAUAUUAGUACAAGUGUCCUAAAACAGAUCAUACAGAUACAAACAAAUAACUAGUAGACCAUUAAGACAACUGACUCGUACAGUUUCACCAGUACAAUUUCUCUGUUCCUACAUACCACAAUUAAAUUAAGCUGCUGAAUGCAUCAAUUAAUCCUAAGAAGUCUCGAUAUAGUAAGAUAAACCAUAAUCACUCAACAUUAAGAUGGCAAAGCAGAAACCCAUUAAACUCACUGAUUUUCCUGGCCAACCCACUAAGCAAAAUUUCAAGCUAACAUAGUAACAUGUAAGCAAACAAAAGAAUCUACACACAGAUUCAAAACUCAAACAAACUAAGACAAAACCAAGUCUCCCACAAUAAAUUUCACACUUCAAAAUCACCAGCAUAUAAUCAGAACUUGUCAGGUCUUUUGGGGUAUCAUAAAUCUAGGGUAGGUGGUCUAGGCAAUGUAGGUGGUCUUGCAGACUAUCGAAACAGAAUUGUGUUCCUGAGCAGUAUGCGGAUUUACCUUGAUUGAGAACAAUACAACCGUUGGAUCGCUACGAUUUUGAAUCACAGAAUAGAAGACAUGAUUUGGAACAACUUUUGUGAAGAAGCUGUUCUGGAAAAAAUCAUAGAAGUGGAACUUUUGAGCUGUUGAAGUUGACUGACGGGAAUGAUUUCCAGAAGAAGUUUUCAGCAAACAACUCUCUCUCUCAAUUCAAGUUGACAGACCAGAGAUUCAAUCAGCCCAUUUAUCAUCAGAGCUCCCUCAAAACUCAAGAGCUUAAAGUCUAGAUUAAAACUUUACACUUCGAAAUCACCAAGAAGAACAACCAUGAAAUCCAAAACAAACAUGGUACAAAAAAAUCCCAAUACCAGAGGCAAUUCAAUUGACUCUAAUCCAACCCAUUAGAUUCACAAACCAAGUUCGAAUUUUUAUCACUCAAUUUCACAAAACCAAGCCGACCCUAAGCACAAACAUCCAAGCAAAAUUAAAAUCAAAGACUAAAUCCCACAAAACCAAAAUAACAGAAACAAGCAAAUCCACUAAUUCUCAACACAAAACUCAAAAGUUCAAGCUAAAGAAACACAGUCACAUACCGAUUCGAAGUGCUUCACCUCAGCCGAAACCGUCUCAGAGACGCAGACCUCUCUGAAGCUCGGAGAAGAAGAUGGCGACGACCCCAUGUCGAUCUGCACGCGCCGGUACUUCACGUCUAGCAGGCUCUAUUGGCAAAUAAUCUCGGCCUUACGUCUAGUCUGGAUGCAGGAGAGAC